GACUGCGCAAGUACGAAAAACCAAAAUUAAAAAAGGUCGAUAACAUGAAGGUUAAAACCUCUACUCUGUUCAAAAUCAAAGGUUGACAAUUAGAAGGCUGGGAUCAUAAAAGCAAUAACUGACUCUUUCAAGCUAGCAGGCACUACAGGAGCCAAAACAGAUAUGAACUGGGAGUUGAGCAGCUAUCACCUUGGCAAACAAACUAAAUCCUAUCAUCGUUAUUCAUCAUGAAGCCAUGUUCAUAAACUGUAGAUAGAUCAACAAGGCAAACUCAUUUUUUGUUCCAUCAACUCCACCAAAUCGAUGAGAUUAUAAUAAAACAGAAAGUUAUAAUAAUAGAACAACAUAGUCCCAUAGCUUCAUUCUUACAUAUGAGUCGAGUUUUUAUUUCUUUGUCGAGGAAAAGGAGUAUUGAAUACAAUAAAUCAAUGAAUACUCAACUGCAAAAAUUUCUCAAACCUCAAAAUUUGCACUGCACUCACUGCAGGCACAAUAAAUUAAGUUUUGAGGCUGUUUCGCUUCAGGGAGCAAACUGUUUAGGAAUGGGAGGCAACCCCAACAGCCUAUAAGAGAAGAUUUAACAUACAAGUUUCACAUGUCAUUAAAGCUCGACACAAUCAUUGACUCAUAGCAUAUAACCAGAAACUCAUUAAAACAGGCAAUUUCCCAUAAAGAGAUCACUUAACAGUUAGAUAACUAAAAUUCUCAUGCAGACAUUAUUUACAACGCUACAAUUUUAACCGCUACUGAUGAAAUCACUUCAUUACUUACAAAAUUAAUUUAAUUCGAAACGAAAACCUAGCAGGUUGCACUAAUUGAAACAAACUUCCAAAGUUGUUCCAACCAAAACACCACAUAUUUCACUAUAAACGAAACAAUGACAUCUAAAUGAUUCAAAGCAAGAAAUCAAAGCACUCAUAUCAACGAGCAAACCAAAAAAAGCAGAGGAAUCAAAUUUUCUCCAACUUCAAUAGCCACAGCGCACAACAAUUGCACUGCCAACAAAAUUAUAAACGAAGAUAAGAGCCACUUUUGCUUCAACUGAACGAACCAUUGAGGAACCCAUCCAACCUCAAUGGUCAGAGAAAGAAGCUUAUCUGGAAAAAAGUUAUUCAAGAAUUGAAAUACAAACCAACGACAGAAUAACACAUCACCGGAGCAACAAAAUCGAAGGCGGACAGGAAAUUAAUAGAAUCAACAAUACCUGUUAGCAAGACUAUUUACGACAAGCUCAUUCACAACAUAGGAUAAGACUCUGUGCAUGAAAUUCCCACCCGCCAUGGCUUGUUUGCUUCUAUUGAACUUCUUAAAAGCAAAAAAAAAAAAAAAGCGAUCAAACAGACACAAAUCAGAAUAUGUUUGAUAUUAAGAAAAGAAAUUGAUUAAUCAACAAAUCUUAUUAGAAUUUAUUUUUAUUUCUAUUGCAAAAUUAAAAAAAAGACAAAAAAACGGAGCCCUUUGAAAUUAAUAGAAAGUAAAUCGUGAAUAAACCCUAAGCUUAUCAAAUUCAGGUAUCCGUAAAUUCUAAAAAAAAAAUUAAGCACGUAAAAAUAAUAAUUGAAAUGAUUAUUAAACAAGAUAGUUAAGGAAUUGAUUGCGUUAAAGAAAAUAGUUGAAAGAUUUAUUUUACCUGUGAGAGAAUGGCGAUUGGAAAGCUAGGCUUCUGGAAUGUGCCUAAAUUUUAGCGUAGAGACAGCUUCAUCGGAUUUUAUAGGGAGGCGAUUCUUUAGGGUUGGGCUGUUUUAAGACUAAACAGAGGCCCAUGGUCUUGGAACAAGGCCCAUAGUCUUGGAAUAAGGCCCAUAGUACCGGGUCCAUUACAAAAAUGAUUGCUUUGGUUUACACAAAAGAGUUCCUUUUCACCAUGGUUGUUAACACCUGUAAAAAAUAUAUGAUUCGGAGCUUAUCGAUUUUAAGUUAAGUGGAAAAAGAUAUUAAUUUGAUCGAAUUGGUUAAUUUGACUAAACUCAUUCUAAAUUGAGCCACAUCAAUUUCAUUUUUUUUAUAAAAAAAUUAUAUCAUUUUAAUAAAAAUAAAUAAUUUAGAUAAACCAGAAAAUUUAAUAAUAUAGAUUUUUUUCUAGAUAAGUCUUAUUAUCUUAUAUGAAUAUAUAUGAUUUUCAUAUCGGUUUAAUAUUGGUAAGAAAUUAUUAAAUUAUUUUAGAUAUUAGCUAAUUUAUAAAUUUUAUUUGUUAAGAUCUAAGAUAUUCAUAUUUCAUAUAAGAUAAUUAUACUAUAAAUAUUGAUUUUUUUUAAUCAGUGUUUUAGGAACGUGAUGCCAUUUAUUAAUCUUAGUAGGCAAUAUCUAAGAUAGCUGCUUUUCACACGAGAGAGUUAAAAAGUGUGAGUGUAUUAUAUGGAGGAGCUCUACACCGCACAAAAAUACUAUGAUCGUCACAUUAAACAAAAUAAAUUACAUAAUCAAUGUAGAAUUCGCGUGGAAUGGCAAAGGCGUAAAAACCAAGAUGCUGGUGGAAAAUUAAUUACAAUCAAUUUUUAAAUUUUUUUAGAAUAUUUUUAGUUUUAAAUUAAUUUUUAUUUGGUAUUUUUAAAUCAUUUUAAUGUGUUGAUAUUAAAAAUAAAUUAAAAAAAUUAAAAAAAAUAAUAUUAUUUUAAUAUAUUUCUAAAAAAUAAAACAACUUUUAUAUACUAUGGAACAUGCCCUAAGCAGUAUAAUUUAAUUAUGUAAGUAGUAUAUUGCUUUUCUCUACAGUAGUGUACACUGGAACAGCACAGAAGGAAUUGAUGAAGAGCAUUUCAAUUAAGACAAAAAAGAAGAAGCCAGAAUUGAAGAAAGAGAUAUUGAUGAAGUGGUUCCUGUAAAUAAAUAAAUAAGUAAGGGUAGACGAGGCUGACCGAGACUCAGACCAGAUCUUAAGGAAAUUAAGAAAAUUCACAGCUAUUAAUUAGAGAACCACGCGAAUACACACCAGGGAUGGAGAUUGCAUCUUCGGUGUUCGCCAGGAGUUCUUGAUGCAUGGAAUCAAAUUUUCCUUUCACAUAUAACUGUAGCUGAAAAAAGAGAAGACAGAACUCAUGUUUCUGUGAUCCAUUGUACAAAAUAGCCCUUUAUUUCAAAUUUAGCAUCAUGUCCAAAUUCUUUGGCAACGCAAGAAAUUUAAAGUAAGGCCAUGUUAUAUUAUUAAGAUAAAUAGAAAAACUUGCUACUAAUUCUAUAUAUCAAGAAAAAUUCAUCAAAAACAGACGUACGUGGAAACCCAUUGACGUCCAAUCACAUUCAUCACCUCAAAAUGCAGGCAAAAAAAAAAACAUUUUGCCAGGAAUCAAAAGAUCAAUAAAUUGAAAGCAAAAGUAAAUAAAAUCAAACUACACAUGAAGCCAUUAUUGAAAUUGAUGACUAUUAAAGCUAAAAGAAGGUAUUUCCUUCAGAUUAAUGAAGGGAUUGACAAUCCUUGACUCACUAGGAGCAUUAUUAGCUUCAAUCAAGCCAAGUCGGGUUAUCACAUUCUUCUUCAAUUGUUCCAUUGAUUCUUUGUAUGCUUCAAGCUCAUCCUGCUCCAUGUUAUCAAUGGGUAGAUCCCACCAAAAGCCACCCUCAUUCAUGUCGUUCAUGUUCCCAAUCAUCUUUGCAACCGUUUGCUCCUCUUCCAAUCGCUUCAAAGAUCUUGCAUAUUCUUGUUUAUUAGCUAACUGGCUCUCUAUAUUGUUAUUGGUGACCGGCGGGAAGUUGCUAGGGACCUUUUCUGUUUCAACAAGAUAGCGAUCAAGAACCUUAUCAACGUCUGGCUGGCCACAAGAGAAUAGCUUUCGAUGUUCAGAGAAGACAAUGACUGCUGUUUCAGCCCCGCACAAGGUAGAAAGUUCUGUUGCUUUCUUGAACAGCCCGUUUUUACGUUUUGAAAACGUGACAUAACGAUUGCUUUCUUUCUGUACUUUCUUUAUCUCAAUCUUUUGACGACCUUUGCUGGUCCUGCGUGUCUCCUGCUGGUGCCGCUGGCGGUUCGAAUCCGUUGCAUCCAUGGUGGAUAUAUAGAGAUUAAGAAGCUUGAAAGGGAGAAUUAAUAGGGUUUAGGGUUUUGAGAUGUUGGGUGGUAUAUAUAUUUACAGAUUUAUGAGAUCUUUCCACUCUUAUUUUGGAAAGUGUUUAACCGCUUGAAUAGGAAAUUACACCGUUUGUUAAAAAUUGACAGGAAAGCAAACAGAAUCUCUUUCUUGCAUGUUCAGGAAUUAUUUUCAUAAUAUAUUUUUUUUCUUUUGUCUCGUCCCUUCCCGUUAUGCAUGCAUACCAUUCUUAACCCAACCUUAAUUAUCUUUCGCACUCCUGCUGCUUCUUAAAAGACUGCGCAGAAUAUAUAACAUACACAAUCAGCAGCACUCCGUAGAAGAUAACAGCUAGCUCUUCUGAUAUUAAAUUAAGUAUAUAAUAUAUCACCUCAAAAUUCUUGGAAAGGUCUUUCACCUGCUCGGCAAGUUCUUGCUUUUUCGUUGCCGCUGCAUAACAAAACAUCACUCAUCAUCAUCAGAUCAAUAGCCAGCAGUGACUGAAAUUGCAGGUCCAGAUCACAAAAUGUAACAGAAACGCACCCGGCACCCGUGUUUGAAAUAUCAUCAACCCUCCUUGAUGUCCUCACUGCAAGCACGAAAAACCAAAAUUAAAAAAAAAGGUCGAUAACGUGAAGGUUAAAACCUCUACUCUGUCAAAAAUCAAAGGUUGACAAUGAGAAGGCUGGGAUCAUAAAGCAAUAACUGACUCUUUCAAGCUAGCAGCCACUACAGGAGCCAAAAAAGAUAUGAACUGGAAGUCGAGCAGCUAUCACCUAGGCAAACCAACUAAAUCCUAUCAUCGUUAUUCAUCAAGAAGCCAUGUUCAUAAGCUGUAGAAAGAUCAAUAUGGCAAACUCAUUUUUGUUCCAUCAACUCCACCCAUGUUCAUAAGCUGUAGAAAGAUCAAUAUGGCAAACUCAUUUUUGUUCCAUCAACUCCACCAAAUCAAUGAGAUGAUAAUAAAACAGAGAGUUAUAAUAAUAGAACAACAUGGUCCCAUAGCUUCAUUCUUACAUAUGAGUCGAGUGUUUACUUCUUUGUGGAGGAUAAGGAGUAUUGAACAAAAUAAAUAAAUGAAUACUCAACUGCAAAAAUUUCUCAAACCUCAAAAUCUGCACUGCAGGCACAAUAACUUAAGAAGUUUUGAGGCUGUUUCGCUUCAGGGAGCAAACUGUUUAGG
rnacentral:lncRNA from 1 species